rnacentral:rRNA from 1 species
CCUACGGGAGGCAGCAGUGAGGAAUAUUGGUCAAUGGGCGCGAGCCUGAACCAGCCAAGCCGCGUGAAGGAUGACUGCCCUACGGGUUGUAAACUCCUUUUAUAAAGGAAUAAAGUGAGGCACGUCUGCCUUUUUGUAUGUACUUUAUGAAUAAGGAUCGGCUAACGCCGUGCCAGCAGCCGCGGUAAUACGGAGGAUUCGAGCGUUAUCCGGAUUUAUUGGGUUUAAAGGGAGCGUAGAUGGGUUGUUAAGUCAGUUGUGAAAGUUUGCGGCUCAACCGUAAAAUUGCAAUUGAUACUGGCGGUCUUGAGUACAGGUGAGGUAGGCGGAAUUCGUGGUGUAGCGGUGAAAUGCUUAGAUAUCACGAAGAACACCGAUUGCGAAGGCAGCUUACUAAACUGCAACUGACAUUGAUGCUCGAAAGUGUGGGUAUCAAACAGGAUUAGAUACCCGAGUAGUC